UCACUACUUGCGUAGGCAGUCUUCUUAAAGUGCUCAGCAUUACCUGAUGGCAACUAAGAACGAGGGUUGCGCUCGUUGCGGGACUUAACCCAACACCUCACGGCACGAGCUGACGACGGCCAUGCAGCACCUUGCUUUGUGUCCCGAAGGAAAGCGCCAUCUCUGGCGCGGUCACGCGCAUUCUAGCCUAGGUAAGGUUCCUCGCGUAUCAUCGGAUUAAACCACAUGCUCCACCGCUUGUGCGGGCCCCCGUCAAUUCCUUUGAGUUUCACCCUUGCGGGCGUACUCCCCAGGUGGAUUACUUAACGCUUUCGCUAAGACGCUGACUGUUUAUCGCCAACAUCGAGUAAUCAUCGUUUACAGCGUGGACUAC
rnacentral:misc_RNA from 1 species